rnacentral:rRNA from 1 species
AAUCAACGCUGGCGGCGUGCCUAACACAUGCAAGUCGAGCGAGAAAGUGUAGCAAUACAUGAGUACAGCGGCGCACGGGUGAGUAACACGUGGGUAAUCUGCCCUUGAGUGGGGAAUAACACCGGGAAACCGGUGCUAAUACCGCAUACGAUCACGAUGUCUGCGGAUGUUGUGAUGAAAGGAGCAAUUCGCUCUUGGAGGAGCCCGCGGCUGAUUAGCUAGUUGGUAAGGUAACGGCUUACCAAGGCAACGAUCAGUAGCCGGUCUGAGAGGACGGUCGGCCACACUGGAACUGAGACACGGUCCAGACUCCUACGGGCGGCAGCAGUGGGGAAUUUUUAGCAAUGGGGGCAACCAUGACGAAGCAACGCCGCGUGGGUGAUGAAGUCUCUUGGGACGUAAAACCCUUUCGACGGGGAAGAAACCGCAAGGUUGACGGUACCCGUAGAAGAAGCCCCGGCUAACUCCGUGCCAGCAGCCGCCGUAAUAC